rnacentral:rRNA from 2 species
UACGUAGGUGGCAAGCGUUGUCCGGAAUUAUUGGGCGUAAAGCGCGCGCAGGUGGCUAUGUAAGUCUGAUGUUAAAGCCCGAGGCUCAACCUCGGUUCGCAUUGGAAACUGUGUAGCUUGAGUGCAGGAGAGGAAAGUGGUAUUCCACGUGUAGCGGUGAAAUGCGUAGAGAUGUGGAGGAACACCAGUGGCGAAGGCGACUUUCUGGCCUGUAACUGACACUGAGGCGCGAAAGCGUGGGGAGCAAACAGG